rnacentral:rRNA from 1 species
UACGUAGGGGGGCAAGCGUUGUCCGGAAUCAUUGGGCGUAAAGAGCGUGUAGGCGGCCUGAUAAGUCGGUUGUGAAAGUCAAGGGCUCAACCCUUGAAUGCCGACCGAUACUGUCAGGCUAGAGUCCGGAAGAGGCGAGUGGAAUCCUGGUGUAGCGGUGAAAUGCGCAGAUAUCAGGAGGAACACCUAUGGCGAAGGCAGCUCGCUGGGACGGUACUGACGCCUGAGAACGCG